rnacentral:rRNA from 1 species
ACCUACGGGAGGCAGCAGUAGGGAAUAUUGGACAAUGGGUGCGAGCCUGAUCCAGCCAUGCCGCGUGCAGGAAGACGGCCUUCUGGGUUGUAAACUGCUUUUGCCAGGGGAUAAAAAGCCCUUGCGAGGGAAAUUGAAGGUACCUGGUGAAUAAGCCACGGCUAACUACGUGCCAGCAGCCGCGGUAAUACGUAGGUGGCAAGCGUUGCCCGGAUUUAUUGGGUUUAAAGGGUGCGUAGGUGGUCUAUUAAGUCAGUGGUGAAAUACGGCAGCUUAACUGUCGAGGUGCCAUUGAUACUGGUAGACUUGAGUACAGACGAGGUUGGCGGAAUUGACGGUGUAGCGGUGAAAUGCUUAGAUAUCGUCAAGAACACCGAUAGCGAAGGCAGCUUACUAGACUGUAACUGACACUGAGGCACGAAAGUGUGGGGAUCAAACAGGAUUAGAAACCCCGGUAGUCCC